AUUGAACGCUGGCGGCAGGCCUAACACAUGCAAGUCGAACGAGUGGCGGACGGGUGAGUAAUGUCUGGGAAACUGCCUGCUGGAGGGGGAUAACUACUGGAAACGGUAGCUAAUACCGCCUACCAUCGGAUGUGCCCAGAUGGGAUUCACUAGUAGGUGGGGUAAAGGCUCACCUAGGCGACGAUCCCUAGCUUGUCUGAGAGGCUGACCAGCCAAACUGGAACAGAGACACGGACCAGACGCCUACGGGAGGCAGCAGUGGGGAAUAUUGCACAAGGGGGGGAAGCCUGAUGCAGCCAGGCCGCGUGGAGGAAGAAGGCCUUCGGGUGGUAAAGGACAUGCAGCGGGGAGGCGUUACCCGCAGAAGAAGCACCGGCUAACUCCGUGCCAGCAGCCGCGGUAAUAC
rnacentral:rRNA from 1 species